GGAGAGGUCGCCUAGAGGCCGAGGGCGACGGUUUGCUAAACCGUUAAGGGGUAACUCCCUUCGAGGGUUCGAAUCCCUCCCUCUCCGCCA
rnacentral:tRNA from 1 species